rnacentral:rRNA from 1 species
CUUAGUACCCGUAGGAAAAGAUAUUCCGUGAGUAGUGGCGAGCGAAAGCGGAGGAUGGCUAAACCGUGUGCGUGUGAUACUCGGCGGGGGUUGCGUGUGCGGUGUUGUGGGGCUUGUCUGUUUUCUUCCUUCUGCCGGAGGGGGGCAUGUGAUCGUGUUGGGAGUUGAACACCUUGGGAUGGGUGACCAAAGUGCGUGAGAGUCGUGUAGGCGUACCGGUGCGGUUGUGUGUUGGAUGGGUGCCCGAGUAGUGCGGGACUCGUGAAAUCUCGUGUGAAUCUGCCAGGACCACCUGGUAAGCCUGAAUACUCCUUGAUGACCGAUAGUGCAUAGUACCGUGAGG